UACGGAGGGAGCUAGCGUUAUUCGGAAUUACUGGGCGUAAAGCGCCCGUAGGCGGCUUUGUAAGUUAGAGGUGAAAGCCUGGAGCUCAACUCCAGAAUUGCCUUUAAGACUGCAUCGCUUGAAUCCAGGAGAGGUGAGUGGAAUUCCGAGUGUAGAGGUGAAAUUCGUAGAUAUUCGGAAGAACACCAGUGGCGAAGGCGACUUACUGGACACAUAUUGACGCUGAGGUGCGAAAGCGUGGGGAGCAAACAGG
rnacentral:rRNA from 1 species